AGCGAACGCUGGCGGCAGGCCUAACACAUGCAAGUCGAACGAACCUUUCGGGGUUAGUGGCGGACGGGUGAGUAACACGUGGGAACGUGCCUUUAGGUUCGGAAUAACUCAGGGAAACUUGUGCUAAUACCGAAUGUGCCCUUCGGGGGAAAGAUUAAUCGCCUUUAGAGCGGCCCGCGUCUGUUUCGCUAGUUGGUUGAGGUAAUGCCUCACCAAGGCGACGAUCAGUAGCUGGUCUGAGAGGAUGCUCAGCCACAUUGGGACUGAGACACGGCCCAAACUCCUACGGGAGGCAGCAGUGGGGAAUCUUGCGCAAGGGGCGAAAGCCUGACGCAGCCAUGCCGGGUGAAUGAUGAAGGUCUUAGGAUUGUAAAAUUCUUUCACCGGGGACGAUAAUGACGGUACCCGGAGAAGAAGCCCCGGCUAACUUCGUG
rnacentral:rRNA from 1 species